rnacentral:lncRNA from 1 species
ACAUUUAUGAAAAAAAAUUAUUACAUGGAUUAAGCACUUGAGCAAUAAACAUACUUUAACUUCUUUAAUGCUGUCAUUUGUUAUAUAACCCCAAAAACACUGACAAUGUUCCAAAUGCAAGACUGGUACAUGAAUAUGAGAUGGGUUUGAAAUAAGAUAUAAAUGAGGCUCUGUGGUACAUUUUUAUCCUAAUCAGAAAGCAUACGAAUGUACAUAGGUCACCCAUAGCUGACAAAUAUCAAUUUUCAAUUGUUCUACAACCCAAAGCUGAUAUUUUGCAUGAGACUACUUUUGCAGGAUAACUAAUUUGACAUUGUAUUGAAAAGUAACGACAUACGACAACUAUAGUUUAUCG